UUACAAGGAUUCCCCUAGUAACGGCGAGCGAAGCGGGAAGAGCUCAAAUUUGAAAGCUGGCGUCUUCGGCGUCCGCGUUGUAAUCUCGAGACGUGUUUUCCGUGCGGCUCUAUGGACAAGUCCCUUGGAACAGGGCAUCGUAGAGGGUGAAAAUCCCGUACUUGCCAUGGAAGUACCGUGCUUUGUGAUACACGUUCCAAGAGUCGAGUAGUUUGGGAUCGCUGCUCAAAGUGGGUGGUAGACUCCAUCUAAAGCUAAAUAUCGGGGAGAGACCGAUAGCGAACAAGUACCGUGAGGGAAAGAUGAAAAGCACUUUGGAAAGAGAGUUAAAAGUACGUGAAAUUGUCGAAAGGGAAGCACUUGAAGUCAGCCAUGCUGCUUGAGACUCAGCCUGGCUUUUGCUUGGUGUAUUUCUCGGUAGCAAGCCAGCAUUGGUUUGUGUCGUCGGAGAAGCGUAUGGGGAAUGUGGCAUCCUCGGAUGUGUUAUAGCCCUGUGCUGGAUACGACGACGCAGACCAAGGAACGCAGUGUGCCCUCUGGGCGGGUCUUCGGACACCUUCACACUUAGGAUGCUGGCGUAAA
rnacentral:rRNA from 1 species